GACAGAGGUGCCAAGCGUUAGGCGGAAUCACUGGGCUUAAAGCGUGUGUAGGCGGAUCGUUAAGUACCUUGUGAAAUCCCACGGCUCAACCGUGGAACUGCUGGGUAUACUGGCGGUCUUGAGCCACCUAGGGGCAACUGGAACAAGCGGUGGAGCGGUGAAAUGCGUAGAGAUCAGGAAGAACACCGGUGGCGAAAGCGCUCUGCUAGGCCGCAACUGACACUGAGGGACGAAAGCUAGGGGAGCGAAUGGG
rnacentral:rRNA from 1 species